AGUUAACGUUGGCGGCGUGCCUAACACAUGCAAGUCGAACGCGUCCUAAGGGCAACUUUAGGAUGAGUGGCGAACGGGUGAGUAUCACGUGGGUAAUCUUCCUUUAAGUGGGGAAUAAGCUCUCGAAAGGGAGUCUAAUACCGCAUGACAUUCCGGGACACAAGUCCCGUAAUCAAAGCCGCAAGGCGCUUGAAGAUGAGCCUGCGUCCUAUUAGCUAGUUGGUGGGGUAACGGCCUACCAAGGCUCAGAUGGGUAGCCGGCCUGAGAGGGUGAACGGCCACACUGGGACUGAGACACGGCCCAGACUCCUACGGGAGGCAGCAGUGAGGAAUUUUGCGCAAUGGGGGAAACCCUGACGCAGCGACGCCGCGUGGAGGAUGAAGGCCUUCGGGUCGGUAAACUACCUGUCAGAGGUGAAGAAUGCCCGCAAGGGUUUGACGGUAACCUCAGAGGAAGCCCCGGCUAACUACGUGCCAGCAGCCGCGGUAAAAGUCAACGUCG
rnacentral:rRNA from 1 species